GGCAUCAUCCUUUCCUUCUGCUCUAACGUUCCUUCCGAAGGGAGACAGAACAGAGGGGCGGUGGCAGGGUCAUCACCACAAGCAAGCUGGAACUGAUAAAAGCAGGGGCAGCCCCCACCAAGGCCAGAGCACUGGAGACUAAUCGUGGUCAGAUGUGCCAUCAGUCACCCCCGUUGGCCCUCGCAGCCAUGCUGAAAGGUUAGCUCUGCUUGGCAAGGAUAGAAAAACAUAUAUUUGCAGAGCUUAAACAAUUUGCCCAAGCCAGGCAGGCCCUGGAACCAAGACUGACUCCAGCUCAGCCAGCACCGAAUGGUCUAGCAAGUACCAUCACGGGGUAUUUCAGAGCUCCUUUGAGUUCAAGAGUUCAAGACCAGUCUGGACAACAUGGUGAGAUCAUGUCUCAAAGAACAAAACCCAUAAUCACCGUCAUCAUCAUCUAGACAGAAGGGAAAGCCACAGGACAUGUAUAAACUGGGGAUAUCGAGGAGGGAGAAAUUGGCUUCCUGGCAGCAAUGGGAAUGACACAAGAUCACCAUCUAAUACUACUCAAGAUCUCUGGAUAACUUACUCUUGUCUUCCAAGUGAAAGAAGUGGGCUCCAGGACACUUAAGUCCAUGUACAAAGUUGCUUGUCUUAUACAUGAAAGAAUUGGAAGUUGAAACCCAAAUCUAUCAAGAGCAUGUACGGCACUGCAGAAGCGCAGGUCCUCAGUUGUCCUGGAAAGCAGGAAGAACAGUUUGGGAGACUGGGGCUACAUAAUCAGUAGGCCAGUCACACCUGAAUUUCGAAGUUAUCUCACCUGGACAAUGCAAAUACAGCAAUAAUGAUCUAAUAUCA